AAGACCUUGCACUUUUGGAGCGGCCGAUGUCUGAUUAGCUAGUUGGUGGGGUAAUGGCCUACCAAAGCUUCGAUCAGUAGCUGGUCUGAGAGGACGGCCAGCCACACUGGGACUGAGACACGGCCCAGACUCCUACGGGAGGCAGCAGUGGGGAAUUUUGGACAAUGGGCGCAAGCCUGAUCCAGCCAUGUCGCGUGAGUGAAGAAGGCCUUCGGGUUGUAAAGCUCUUUCAGCCGGGAAGAAAAGGUUGCGACUAAUAAUCGCAAUUCAUGACGGUACCGAAAGAAGAAGCACCGGCUAACUACGUGCCAGCAGCCGCGGUAAUACGUAGGGUGCGAGCGUUAAUCGGAAUUACUGGGCGUAAAGGGUGCGCAGGCGGUUUUGUAAGUCAGAUGUGAAAUCCCCGGGCUUAACCUGGGAACU
rnacentral:rRNA from 1 species